rnacentral:rRNA from 1 species
GACGAACGCUGGCGGCGUGCUUAACACAUGCAAGUCGAACGGAAAGGCCCUGCUUUUGUUGGUUGCUCGAGUGGCGAACGGGUGAGUAACACGUGAGUAACCUGCCCUUGACUUUGGGAUAACUUCAGGAAACUGGGGCUAAUACCGGAUAGGAGCUCCUGCUGCAUGGUGGGGGUUGGAAAGUUUCGGCGGUUGGGGAUGGACUCGCGGCUUAUCCGCUUGUUGGUGGGGUAGUGGCUUACCAAGGCUUUGACGGGUAGCCGGCCUGAGAGGGUGACCGGCCACAUUGGGACUGAGAUACGGCCCAGACUCCUACGGGAGGCAGCAGUGGGGAAUAUUGCACAAUGGGCGGAAGCCUGAUGCAGCAACGCCGCGUGCGGGAUGACGGCCUUCGGGUUGUAAACCGCUUUCGCCUGUGACGAAGCGUGAGUGACGGUAAUGGGUAAAGAAGCACCGGCUAACUACGUG